rnacentral:rRNA from 1 species
GGUUCAGGAUGAACGCUAGCUACAGGCUUAACACAUGCAAGUCGAGGGGCAUCAGGAAGAAAGCUUGCUUUCUUUGCUGGCGACCGGCGCACGGGUGAGUAACACGUAUCCAACCUGCCCUUUACUCGGGGAUAGCCUUUCGAAAGAAAGAUUAAUACCCGAUAGCAUAAUGAUUCCGCAUGGUUUCAUUAUUAAAGGAUUCCGGUAAAGGAUGGGGAUGCGUUCCAUUAGGUUGUCGGUGAGGUAACGGCCCACCAAGCCUUCGAUGGAUAGGGGUUCUGAGAGGAAGGUCCCCCACAUUGGAACUGAGACACGGUCCAAACUCCUACGGGAGGCAGCAGUGAGGAAUAUUGGUCAAUGGGCGCUAGCCUGAACCAGCCAAGUAGCGUGAAGGAUGAAGGCUCUAUGGGUCGUAAACUUCUUUUAUAUAAGAAUAAAGUGCAGUAUGUAUACUGUUUUGUAUGUAUUAUAUGAAUAAGGAUCGGCUAACUCCGUGCCAGCAGCCGCGGUAAUACGGAGGAUCCGAGCGUUAUCCGGAUUUAUUGGGUUUAAAGGGAGCGUAGGUGGACUGGUAAGUCAGUUGUGAAAGUUUGCGGCUCAACCGUAAAAUUGCAGUUGAUACUGUCAGUCUUGAGUACAGUAGAGGUGGGCGGAAUUCGUGGUGUAGCGGUGAAAUGCUUAGAUAUCACGAAGAACUCCGAUUGCGAAGGCAGCUCACUGGACUGCAACUGACACUGAUGCUCGAAAGUGUGGGUAUCAAACAGGAUUAGAUACCCUGGUAGUCCACACAGUAAACGAUGAAUACUCGCUGUUUGCGAUAUACAGUAAGCGGCCAAGCGAAAGCAUUAAGUAUUCCACCUGGGGAGUACGCCGGCAACGGUGAAACUCAAAGGAAUUGACGGGGGCCCGCACAAGCGGAGGAACAUGUGGUUUAAUUCGAUGAUACGCGAGGAACCUUACCCGGGCUUAAAUUGCAGUGGAAUGAUGUGGAAACAUGUCAGUGAGCAAUCACCGCUGUGAAGGUGCUGCAUGGUUGUCGUCAGCUCGUGCCGUGAGGUGUCGGCUUAAGUGCCAUAACGAGCGCAACCCUUAUCUUUAGUUACUAACAGGUUAUGCUGAGGACUCUAGAGAGACUGCCGUCGUAAGAUGUGAGGAAGGUGGGGAUGACGUCAAAUCAGCACGGCCCUUACGUCCGGGGCUACACACGUGUUACAAUGGGGGGUACAGAAGGCAGCUAGCGGGUGACCGUAUGCUAAUCCCAAAAUCCUCUCUCAGUUCGGAUCGAAGUCUGCAACCCGACUUCGUGAAGCUGGAUUCGCUAGUAAUCGCGCAUCAGCCACGGCGCGGUGAAUACGUUCCCGGGCCUUGUACACACCGCCCGUCAAGCCAUGGGAGCCGGGGGUACCUGAAGUACGUAACCGCAAGGAUCGUCCUAGGGUAAAAC